UGUCGAACUGUCAAAUCCGCAUGUUUUCGGCUGACCGUCCGUGAUCAUCGCCGAGAGAGUUUCGCGUAAUUUCUUUUGACCGUCGUAACAAAUCCUCCGAUGGUUCUGGACUCCGUUGUCCAGUAAGUGCGUGGUCCGGUGUUGAAAACCGUAGGAAUCAAGUGUCGCGUAUCUUCUUUUUGCUUAAAUUAAAAUGAACACCCGAGGCUUGCUGCAGCGAAGUCUAAAAUUCCUCACCGGCAAGCAGAUUCUCGCAAGGCCAGCUAGCAGUUUGGCCGGGUCCGGUGGCCAGGGCCGAUGUUCACACUGUCGCGGGCUUAGUGGGACGGACGGGAUCUUUAGCCAGAGCCGAACAGCGGGACUGUUGGCCGCCGACAAGAGCCAGGAUGUGAUCCAGGUGCGGCAAAUCAGCACCGGCCGGGUGUUGCAGAAGAAGGACUACUACAGCAUUCUGGGGGUGGCGAAGAAUUCUUCGCCGAAGGAAAUCAAAAAGUCGUACUAUCAGCUGGCGAAAAAGUACCACCCGGACACCAACAAGGACGAUCCGGACGCGAGCCGGAAGUUCCAGGAGGUGUCGGAGGCGUACGAGGUCCUGAGCGAUGACACCAAACGGCGCGAGUACGACACGUUCGGCCAAACGUCGGAACAGAUGGGCCGCGCCGGCGGCGGUGGCCAUCCGGGCGCUGGUCGCGGUCCACAGGGCUUCUCCCAGAACUGGCAGUUCCGCAGCACCAUCGAUCCGGAGGAGCUAUUCCGGAAGAUUUUCGGCGACGGUGGCUUCAAGGCCGGUGGCUUCGACGACUUUAGCGAUUCGCGGUUCGGUUUUGGCGGCGCCCAGGAGGUGAUGAUGAACCUGACCUUUGCGCAGGCGGCGCGCGGCGUGAACAAAGACAUCGACGUGAACGUGGUGGACACGUGCCCGAAGUGCACCGGGUCGAGGUGCGAGCCGGGCACGAAGCCGGGCAAGUGUCAGUACUGCAACGGGACGGGCAUGGAGACGAUUUCGACGGGGCCGUUUGUGAUGCGUUCGACGUGUCGGUACUGCCAGGGCACGCGGAUGUACAUCAAGUAUCCGUGCUUGGAGUGUGGCGGCAAGGGGCAGACGGUGCAGCGGAAGCGGGUCACGGUGCCGGUGCCGGCGGGGGUCGAGGACGGACAGACGGUGCGGAUGGCCGUGGGUAACAAGGAGCUGUUUAUCACGUUCAACGUUGAGAAGAGUCGCUACUUCCGGCGGGACGGCUCGGACGUGCACACCGAGGCCAACAUCAGCCUGUCGCAGGCGCUGCUCGGGGGAACGAUCCGCGUGCAGGGCGUGUACGAAGACCAGACGAUCCAGGUCGUGCCGGGAACGUCGUCACAUACGCGCAUCACCCUCAAGGGCAAGGGACUGAAGCGGGUCAACAGUUACGGGUCGGGCGAUCAUUACGUGCACCUCAAGAUACAGAUUCCGACCAAGCUGAGCAGUCAGCAGAAGGCGCUGGUGCAGGCUUACGCUGAACUCGAGGAGGACACUCCGGGCCAGAUCAUGGGCGUGACCCACAAAACGGACGGAACGAAAAUGUGCUACGCCGAACCGCAGGACCUAACCGACAUUGUCCGGGAGGCCAUCAAGGAGCGCCAGCAAAUCAAGGAGCCCGGCAGUAAAGCGACGGAAGAGGAGACAGGCAGCGCAGAUGAUGGGGGAAAUAGUGGUGCAGGAGUAGAAGGUGGAUCGGAUCCAGCGGAGAAGAAGGAACGAAGCAGUAAUUGAGCGCAGUGAGGGCGGCAAAAUGUUCGUGGUAGUCGUUGUGUACAACAAACAAACAAACCAAUUCGUAGCUGAAUAUGAAAAGGAUGGAAAAAAUAACCAAAAUUUGUGUUGCAUCGUUAUUAAGUGGAAGGAAUGCAUGAUGACGAGUGGUUGGAGAAAAGAAGGAAAGGAUUUUUUGGCGCAGUCAAACAACGGUAAUUUGGAAAUUGAUUAUUAAGCUAAGAACAAGAUAGUCCGUUCGACGCAGUGGUGAACGCAGAACGCUGUGCCAGUUCGAUUUUUCCAUCAACUGUCAGUCGAACAAUCUGCAGGGGUUGCUUUGUUCAAUGGUCGAUGACUGGCAGGCUAUGAUGACAGGCGCAAAAUUUUGCGUUUGCGUUCAGGCCUGACGGACAAUCUUGUUCUUACCUUUACUACAUACUAGAGGGGAGAAACUUCGGAUAGAAUCAAACAUCGUGCUUCAACUAGUUGUUACAUUUAGGAAAGAAAACUUAUAUUGAAUAAACAGUUUUAAUGCUAAAC